UCCAGAGGAGCCAAGCGUUGUCCGGAUUGACUGGGCGUAAAGCGCACGCAGGCGGUUGCGCGCGUGGGGUGUGAAAUCUGGCCGCUUAACGGCCAGGCGCCAUCCCAUACGGCGCGACUGGAGCGAUGCAGAGGUCGGUGGAAUUGCCGGUGUAGUGGUGGAAUGCGUAGAUAUCGGGGGGAACACCAGUGGCGAAGGCGGUUGCCUGGGGCUUUGCUGACGCUGAUGCGCGAAAGCGUGGGGAGCGAUCCGG
rnacentral:rRNA from 1 species